rnacentral:lncRNA from 1 species
GUUUGGGUUCAAGUGCUUCAAUCUAUUCCUGUCUGGUGAAAAGUGAGAGGACUGUUUAUGGUGAUAACCCUGAAGAAUGUGUGCAGUUUUUACAGUUUAACGUUCCCAUAGGAAAAUUCCUUGUUCACCUGGAAUUGUUUUCCAUGCCAAGAAGUGCUUUAACAGGGCAUGUUGCCACUCUAAAUCUUCAUCACUGUACUGGUAGCAGAAACUAAUUAAUUAAUUUGGAUAAUUAAAGUGUUGAAAGUGUUGGUGGUGAAUGACAACUCAGCAGCAAUCAGUUGUCCUUCCAAGGAGCACCAGCACCAGAGGACAACCCUUCCCUACCUGUCUGAUGGAUGGUAGGCCAAUUCCUUAAGUGCCUUAUCAGGUGUGGGCAUUCAGAGGUGCAUAUGGUGGCUACUGAAGUUGGACUCGUAAUUGGAGGAUUGUUUUUUUUUUUUGUACUCCAUAGACCCGGCAGUGAAGAUACAGGUUAGAAAUGCAAAUUGAGAAAUAAAUAUAUCUUUUCUACUAUAAUAAAUAUAUCU